CCAGACUCCUACGGGAGGCAGCAGUGGGGAAUAUUGGGCAAUGGGCGCAAGCCUUACCCAGCAAUACCGCGUGAGUGAAGAAGGUCUUCGGAUUGUAAAGCUCUUUGAUCAGGGACGAACAGAUGACGGUACCUGAAGAACAAGCCCCGGCUAACUACGUGCCAGCAGCCGCGGUAAAACGUAGGGGGCAAGCGUUAUCCGGAUUUACUGGGUGUAAAGGGAGCGUAGACGGCGAAGAAAGUCUGAAGUGAAAGCCCGCGGCUCAACCGCGGAAUGGCUUUGGAAACUUUUUUGCUGGAGUACCGGAGAGGUAAGCGGAAUUCCUAGUGUAGCGGUGAAAUGCGUAGAUAUUAGGAGGAACACCAGUGGCGAAGGCGGCUUACUGGACGGUAACUGACGUUGAGGCUCGAAAGCGUGGGGAGCAAACAGGAUUAGAUACCCGAGUA
rnacentral:rRNA from 1 species